rnacentral:rRNA from 1 species
UACGUAGGAUCCAAGCGUUGUCCGGAUUUACUGGGUGUAAAGGGUGCGCAGGCGGACUUGUAAGUCCGGGGUGAAAUCUCACAGCUCAACUGUGAAACUGCCUUUGAUACUGCAAGUCUUGGAUCCAGAAGAGAGUUGUGGAAUUCCGAGUGUAGCAGUGAAAUGUGUAGAUAUUCGGAAGAACACCAGUGGCGAAGGCAGCAACUUGGUCUGGUAUCGACGCUCAGGCACGAAAGCAUGGGGAUCAAACAGG